rnacentral:tRNA from 1 species
GCAGUGGUGGCUGAGUGGUAGAAUUCUUGCUUUCCAUGUGAGAGACCUGGGUUCAAGUCCUGGCCGAUGCA